UACGUAGGGGGCGAGCGUUGUCCGAAGUUACUGGGCGUAAAGAGCGCGUAGGCGGGUCCUUAAGUGUGGGGUGAAAGUCCGGGGCUCAACCCCGGAACUGCCCUGCAAACUGGGGAUCUUGAGUGCGGGAGGGGCGAGUGGAAUGGUCGGUGUAGCGGUGAAAUGCGUAGAUAUCGAUCGGAACACCCAUGGCGAAGGCAGCUCGCUGGCCUGUAACUGACGCUGAGGCGCGAAAGCGUGGGGAGCAAACAG
rnacentral:rRNA from 1 species